GAUCUGGCGGAGAGGGAACGCAUCUGGAAGAUGUGUCUUCAGGACGAAGAACACAGGGACUGCUUAGGACGAGUGAAGGGACGUUUCAGGAUGAAACAAGGGACACCUCCAGGAUGGAGAUUGAGAGCCAGUUCAGGAUGAUUGGUGGGUUAGGAUAGCCUAAGGAUUAACGCCGGGAUGGUGUAUAACAUUGCGAUGGAUUGCUGGUUAGUAUAACCAUACGGAAAAGUUUUCAGGGAUUGAGCAGGGAGCAUCAAUUUUAGCUGGAUUGCUAUAAAACGAAUUGAGGGGUACUGGUAAAACAGUACCCCUUUUUGUGCCC
rnacentral:other from 1 species